AAAAUACUCUUCUUCAAAUGGAAAUCAGAAGCGCUAUUUUCCUACAAGCACUAGAAUUUAGGUUUGCUUAUAUGCCCCUCGUGAUCUCUAACAGGAAAGAAAAGAAAGGGACAGACAAAAUUAUGCCUGACUCAUGUUUUUACUGAUUCAUGCCUAAGGAGCUUCAGUAUUGGAAGAGAUGUGCAGACAGUCAAGAGAGAUCUGCUAUUUGAUGGGUUCAGGAACAUUUGCAUUUGUCUUCAUACAGACCCUUGGCAUUUGUCUAAUGCAAAGUCAUGGGGGGCAACCUAGAAGCCUUCCCGCCUGAAGUCACGCAGCUGUUGCCAGUGAGGACCCCUUUAGGCUUUCCUGCUAAAAAUGUCAUAGAAUCAUAAAGUCACAGAACAGCUUGGGUUGGAAGAGACCUCAAAACCCAACCCCUGCCAUGGGCAGGGCUGCCCCCCACCAGCUCAGGCUGCCCAGGGCCCCAUCCAACCUGGCCUUGAGCGCCUCCAGGGAUGGGGCACCACAGCUUCUCUGGGCAGCUGUGCCAGAACCUCAUCACCCUCUGAGGAAAAAAUUUCUUCCUAACAUCUCACCUAUAUAUCACAUCUUUUAGUUCAAAGCUUUUCCCCCUUGUUCUAUCACUAUUAGACCAGAUAAAAAAUCAGCCUCCCUCCUGUUUAUAAGCUGCUGACCGCCCCUCUUUUGUUGUAGCCCAGGAUACUGUUGGCCUUCUGGACUGCAGGCACACACUGAUGGCAGGUGUCAAGCUUUCUGUCCAUCAGAACCCCCAAGUCCUUUUUCUGCAGGGCUACUCUCAGUGAGUUCUUCUGCUGCUGCCCAGAACACUCUUGCCUCACCUGGUCAAGUCUCAUCCUGCCAUGUCUGUCCAGUUGGGCCUUGCACUUUCUUCUUGCUCACACAGCCCCCAUACUGAAUGGUUCGGCCCACGCAUUUGCUCUGCCCUUUGGUCCUUGGUAAUGUACACUCCUGGGCCAGAAGAUAUUGUAAUCUAAAUGAGACAACAAAUACAAACAAGGCAGGAGGAUGUCCCCUCAGGAGAGACGUACACUGGGGUGAUUGAUGAGGUGAAGGGGAGGGAUUGCUUGCAAAGAAAGAUUUUAUGACAGUCAUUGCCCUAAUAGAACUAAAAUGGGACAAUUUCUUAUUCUGAAAUCCAUCAGUGCUGCUUUGGGUGACCUUUGGCAAGCCAAUUCAUCUCUGUCUGUGCCUCUGAAAAAUGGGAAUAAUACAGCCUUGCUGUCUGGAGAACCCUUGGUAAUUCUGUGAUGAAAGACGUUUUAUUGGUACCAGUAUCAUCUUUUAUUGUCAUUAGCAUGAUAACAGAUCUAUCACCUAGCAACAGAGCAGUAACUCUCCUGGCUGAUUGUCCAUGUACUUUUCUUGAAUUUUGGCUCUCUAGCUGCCUGCUUUCAUUUGGAGCAAGUUUAUAACCCGUGACUGUUCUUUUUUUUUCUUAACAUUGCCUGUUACAGACAAGCAAAGCUGUGGUGUCCCGGGCUACUCCUUGUUUCAUCCCCACCUUUCACUUCUGCCCCAGUCUUCCAUACAUGCAAGUGGUUCUGCUAUAUCCCUGUCUUAGGAAACGCAGCUCCCCUCUCUCUUCUCAGAAGUCACAUCCUCCCACAUCCACCCACAUCCACACUCCUGCACACCAGCCCCCUUCCUGCUGCCCUAACUCGCCUUCCUGUGCAGCACCAUCACUGACCCCAGCCUCAGCUGAAGGCUCGUGCAGACUGGCUCUGCUGUUAACUCCGGCCCUAACCUUACUCUCUCAGCUCUGUCCCUCCUCUAUCGGGAUCCCUUUCCCCUGCAGCUCUUUCAAGUCGUGACAACCUUCCCAAAGAAGCUAGAAGAACUUCUGGAAGACAACAGAAGUGGAAUAAGCAAAGUUUCCUCCCUCCGCCCCUUGCUGUUAGCUUCACUGCGCCUUUGGAAGGACUUUGCACUAGAGGAGAUGCUAUUUUUGUCCUGCUUAUGCAGCUAUGCUUGAUGCGAUGAAUAAAGCUGCAGGAGAACAGUCCUCUUGGAGAGGACCCUGAGUGCACUCGGCUAUAUCAUAUUUCCAGGUUGGUGCUUGGGCCUCAACAGUGCUGUCACCACUGGAGACCUCAGGGACAAAUGCAGCCACAGCAGUUUGCCUUUCUUGUCCCUCACCACCUGUGCAUAAGACAUGAAACACAGCGAUCUGAAGAAACUAACAUCGGGGUUUCAUUUGACAUUGCUGAAAAGAUUUGAGGGAAGGAUGUUGGGAGUAAAAUGUUUGUAAAAAUUAGAAAUCAGCAUCCCUUUAAAUAGACCGAGUCUGUUCCUUUCUAAUUGCCAUAUAAUCUUAUACUUCUGACACGGGAGCACAAGUAACUAAUCACUUCUGUAGCCUGGCUGUGAGCUGGGGAUUUAGUGUCUUCCUUCAAAGAGGAUUGCAGGUAACUGACUAACAGUAAGGUAGGACUGCCUGAGAUGACACUAUCCACGCGAGCUGCUCUCCUGGCAACCACAAUCCAAGAAGCAGAAAAUACCGAGAGAAAAGAAUGAGCUGGAAGGAGGAGCUGUUGUUUGAACAUGCGGAUGUUGGACUCUCCCAGAAGACAUCUGCAAAGAUGAAACAAUUGGAGGAAAUUUGUUUUGUGAUAUCCUUUCCCCCUGCAAUGUUUGACCAUCCUGAGGAGAGAAAGGAGGUUUUGAGCGUAUCUGUUUGCAACAUUCUGGUGCUUGAAAGGAUCUUAUAAGCAGGAGGGGGAGCAACUUUUUACGUGCUCUGAUAGUGAUGGGAUGAGAGGGAAGGACUUUGAACUAAAAUAUGUGAAAUAUAAGUUAGAUGAUAGGAGGAAAUUCUUUCCUCAGAGGGCGGUGAGGCGCUGGCACAGCUGCCCAGAGAAGCUGUGGUGCCCCAUCCCUGGAGGCGCUCAAGGCCAGGUUGGAUGGGGCCCUGGGCAGCCUGAGCUGGUGGGGGGCAGCCCUGCCCACGGCAGGAGUUGGGGCUGGGUCGGCUUUGAGCUCCCCUCCAGCCCAAACCGUUCUGUGAUUCUAUGAAAGAUGUCCCUCCCCAGUUUUUUUAUCAGCAAGGAAUCCUCCUACCUCGGCAUCUGAUUUUCCUCAUCAAGUCACAGUGCUCUGCUUGCAAAUUGCAAUUAAUCACUAUGGAGACUGUUGCAAAGUCACCAGUUUGGGAUUGGUCUUUCAGCUGAGCACUAAGCAACAGGUGCUGGGUGGCUUUGAGGAAAGCUCUUUAUUCACACUGAGGUGCAUUGUCUGAAGAUGAGGAAAGAUUUUCCUUGCAGCUAAAAAUAAUCAGAGAAUCAGAGGAUAAUGAAGGUUGGAAAAGACCUCUGGGAUCACCCAGUUCAACCAUCAGCCUACCCCCCCAUGCCCACUGCCCACGUCCCUCAGUGCCACAUCCACACGGCUCUUCAACACCUCCAGGGAUGGUGACUCCACCACCCCCCUGGGUAGCCUGUGCCACUGCCUCACUGCUCUUAAAUAAUGGCAUGAGCUGGGGGGGAUUUCCUGAAGUGGAAGAAACCUCGUGACAUGGAUACAACCCUGUGGCUCAUGGAGAGAGCGGGAGUCAGUGCUGGUUUGGAAGGUCUGCAUUCACAUCCGUCAACAGUAAGAGCUCUACAUGCUCCAGCUGCAGCCAUAGGCCAUCUCCAGCCUGGCUCUUCAGACUGUGAGGCCUGAGCAAGAGCAUCUCGCAUCACUCUCCCCACUGCUCUCGGCACAACAGUGAGGGAGUCAGGAUGCUGCUCUGCACGGACCUGUUCUGAAGCUGAGACCAGCACGUACCUGAGAGCUAUGGUUCCUUUCCUUGUGCCCGCACGCACACAGACUGGGGCUGCAGUCAGCUGGAGGGGUUUUAAAGCAUCUUUCUGGAGAGCAGACCUAAAUAUGUCAUCCAUUCCAUUUGGAAAUGAGGGCAGCAGCUCUGAGAAAAAGCAGACAGUGGGCAUCCGUGGGACUUGCCAGAUUAGAGACAAACUGCAUGAAAGCACUGUCAGCUCCUUGCUGAAUUUACACAGAUGCCCCUGCCCUGUCCCUGCCCCCUCUGCCAGCCAUCGCGUGACAUCGCAGCCAGUGGGGAAGGGCAGUGACAGCCACAGGUAAAGACUGCAUGGUGUUGUGCACCACUUUGGUGGCCUCCAGGAGCUGAAUCUAUGCUCUGACAGGCACUGUGCACAGCAGUGGUGGCGAAUAAGUGUGUCCAGAGGCACCUGGGGACAGCAAGGCAAGCAUUUUUAACCAGGUGCUGCUGAUGCAAAUCCAUCAGCACAGCCCCAGGUGGAACGCCCAUUGCAGUCAAAGGCUCAGUUCCUCACCCAGCAUCCAAGAAAGGACAAGAUGGGGGAGGGGGGGAGGGAAGUCACAUCCAGAAGCAUCCAUGGGUGAAAUAUUGAAAUGAAAUGCUGUGAAAGGGGCCCUUGGGGCUUGGGAAUAUAUCAUCUUUGUAAUGCACGAGACAAGCAGCCCUGCUCUGGGACUCUGCUUUGCCCCAGUUCCAUUACUGUGGAUGUACAGUAAGGACAGCAGAUGUAGACCCCAAAUAAUCCUCCCAUUUCAGCAAGGAGUGCUGGUUCAGAAGAGAAAUGCGUAACGCAUCUGCUAGAACAGGUAAGGCAUGGUUCUGAAAGCAUCAAUUCCACCUGUUUUCCAAGAGUAGAACUUGUUUCAGUUCUGGGGAAAGGGUCAGACACAUCCUCAUCUAAAUCCAUGCCUUAAGAUUUGGGCUGUGUGUCACUGGAGUUAAAAUAUCCCCAGAAAACCACGGGGCCCUGUUACGUAUCCCCAUUUUUAUCUGGGUUGUACUAAAAAUGUAUAUUAAAUUGUAAUCAUUUAGCAAUGUUUCCGCACACACAAAAUUCUCUUGGCUACAUAUAUAGCAUCAUCCAGUACACAUUGUUUUGGCAGCUUUAUGUUCUUCAGCACUCUCACUGCCUGUGCACCUGUUUUUUUUUCACAUGGGGUUUGCCCCACUGCUGCCAACUGUGAUUCCUUACACCUUUGCACACGUUUACUGUGUCCUCAUUCUCCCACACACAAGAAAAAGAGAUUGUGCUGCCUCCGUGAGCCUGCACAUGAAAGUCUGAGCAAGAUCUGCUGUGAGGGCUGAGGCAGAGCAUUGCUGAAGCAAGCAUGUGUUUGCUCCUUGGAAAGUGACAGUCAAUAAAUGUAAGAAGAACCAUCGUGGAGGAAGUGGCAGCAUGGAAGAUGUUUCUGGUGGUACGGAUGUAGGAUGAGUUGUCACGGAGGGUAACCUCUUGUUUCCCAUGCAGAAGCUUGUGCAGGGCAGGUGAUGGACACGUUGCAGGCCCCAAACUGCAGAGCUGGCCUCAGAGUAUGUCAGGUGCUUCCUGGAAUAACACUUAGGUCCAUGUGAGGUGGAAAAGGUUUUUUCAUCCCAGAUCACAAAUCUGUCUGUCCAUCCAACUGUUAGUCUCUCCCAAAUGAGAUCUGAACCCUCCUGCUGCUUUCGACAAAAGAAGGUCUCCAAAAUCCCAAAUUCCCACAGGUCUCUCAUCAGGUAGAGAAGGAAACACAAAGCAACUCAGUGAGGCACACAGGAAAUGCACGUGCAAGAUCAUGGUCUUGGCAAAUUGGGAAGAAAUUGCCCUGGAGCAGGUAGAGGUGGUGGGGGGGGGGGGCAAGGAGGGGCAGAAUUGUGUUGUCUAAGAACCAACCCCGUGAUGUUUCG
ensembl:lncRNA